rnacentral:rRNA from 1 species
GACAGAGGGUGCAAACGUUGUUCGGAAUUACUGGGCGUAAAGCGCGUGUAGGCGGCCAUCUAAGUCGGGCGUGAAAUCCCACGGCUCAACCGUGGAAGUGCACUCGAAACUGGAUGGCUAGAGUCCUGGAGAGGAAGGUGGAAUGCUUGGUGUAGAGGUGAAAUUCGUAGAUAUCAAGCGGAACACCGGUGGCGAAGGCGGCCUCUGGGACAGUGAC